rnacentral:rRNA from 1 species
AACGAACGCUGGCGGCAUGCCUAACACAUGCAAGUCGAACGAAGUCUUCGGACUUAGUGGCGCACGGGUGCGUAACGCGUGGGAAUCUGCCCUUGGGUACGGAAUAACUCAGAGAAAUUUGUGCUAAUACCGUAUAAUGUCGUAAGACCAAAGAUUUAUCGCCCAAGGAUGAGCCCGCGUAAGAUUAGCUAGUUGGUAGGGUAAAAGCCUACCAAGGCGACGAUCUUUAGCUGGUCUGAGAGGAUGAUCAGCCACACUGGGACUGAGACACGGCCCAGACUCCCACGGGAGGCAGCAGUGGGGAAUAUUGGACAAUGGGCGAAAGCCUGAUCCAGCAAUGCCGCGUGAGUGAUGAAGGCCCUAGGGUUGUAAAGCUCUUUUACCCGGGAUGAUAAUGACAGUACCGGGAGAAUAAGCUCCGGCUAACUCCGUGCCAGCAGCCGCGGUAAAGUCUGUACU